rnacentral:tRNA from 2 species
UGGGAGAUCGUUCAACGGUAGGACAGCGGACUCUGACUCCGUCAAUCAAGGUUCGAAUCCUUGUCUCCCAGCCA